UACGUAGGGUGCGAGCGUUAAUCGGAACUACUGGGCGUAAAGCGUGCGCAGGCGGUUAUGUAAGACAGGUGUGAAAUCCCCGGGCUUAACCUGGGAACUGCAUUUGUGACUGCAUAGCUAGAGUACGGUAGAGGGGGAUGGAAUUCCGCGUGUAGCAGUGAAAUGCGUAGAUAUGCGGAGGAACACCGAUGGCGAAGGCAAUCCCCUGGACCUGUACUGACGCUCAUGCACGAAAGCGUGGGGAGCAAACAGG
rnacentral:rRNA from 1 species